rnacentral:misc_RNA from 1 species
GAUGAAGAACGUAGCGAAAUGCGAUAAGUAGUGUGAAUUGCAGAAUUCAGUGAAUCAUCGAAUCUUUGAACGCACAUUGCGCCCUUUGGUAUUCCAAAGGGCAUGCCUGUUCGAGCGUCAUUUGUACCCUCAAGCUUUGCUUGGUGUUGGGCGUCUUGUCUCUAGCUUUGCUGGAGACUCGCCUUAAAGUAAUUGGCAGCCGGCCUACUGGUUUCGGAGCGCAGCACAAGUCGCACUCUCUAUCAGCAAAGGUCUAGCAUCCAUUAAGCCUUUUUUUCAACUUUUGACCUCGGAUCAGGUAGGGAUACCCGCUGAACUUAAGCAUAUCAAUGAGCGGAGGA